rnacentral:rRNA from 2 species
AGCCUGAUGCAGCGACGCCGCGUGAGGGAUGACGGCCUUCGGGUUGUAAACCUCUUUCGCCAGGGACGAAGCGCAAGUGACGGUACCUGGAGAAGAAGCACCGGCCAACUACGUGCCAGCAGCCGCGGUAAUACGUAGGGUGCGAGCGUUGUCCGGAAUUACUGGGCGUAAAGAGCUCGUAGGUGGUUUGUCGCGUUGUUCGUGAAAACUCACAGCUUAACUGUGGGCGUGCGGGCGAUACGGGCAGACUGGAGUACUGCAGGGGAGACUGGAAUUCCUGGUGUAGCGGUGGAAUGCGCAGAUAUCAGGAGGAACACCGGUGGCGAAGGCGGGUCUCUGGGCAGUAACUGACGCUGAGGAGCGAAAGCGUGGGGAGCGAACAGGAUUAGAUACCCUGGUAGUCCACGCCGUAAACGGUGGGUACUAGGUGUGGGUUUCCUUCCUUGGGAUCCGUGCCGUAGCUAACGCAUUAAGUACCCCGCCUGGG